GCCACUGGCCCCUGAAGGCAUGACCGGGGGUAAUACCAGCAGAGCAGGGGUGCCCACCUGCCGAUCCUGGCUGGAGUGGUGAUAGUGCACAGCACAGGGGUCAUGUGGGAGACUUGGGGUUGGGGUGGGGGAGUGCUCAGGGGUGAGUCCCGAGGACCUGGUAUCCCAAGGGCUCUUGAAAAAGGAUUUAGCUGAUGGGUUCAUCCACGUUUGAUACUCUUCCAUAGCUAACAGACUGACUAGCCACCUGAUAGCUUUUGGUAUUUUCAAACCAUAAUUGUUACCUGUGCUGCUCAGGGGGAGGAGGUGGAAGAGGAUGGAUUUGGGGAAGGCGUUUGUAACUUGCUUUUAGUUUCUCACUGUCUAGUCUGCUGGUGAUAGGCA